rnacentral:lncRNA from 1 species
GAACGCUAAGCCACAGCGACCAGUACUCUUCCAGACCUCAGGAUUCUAUUCUUCAGCUUUUUAGAAUCAGAUGCGUAUUUGUUCCAAACUGAUGAUUUCAACUGAUGCUCUCCUGAUGCAUGGCAGACGGAGGUGCCUGUGUCUCUGAGAACACCAUGUGAAUCCCCGUGCCUGAGAACACCAUGUGAAUCCCCGUGCCUGAGAACGCAUGUGAAUCCCAGGAACAUCCUCCAACACACCAUUCAUCAGAGAAGCCCUAUCUGUGACCACAUGUUUGUGCUAAACAAGAGCAAGGGGGAGUUUAAGGAAGACCAAUACCACCAAGAACACUCUGCCUGAAUCUAGACUCUGAAAUGGGCAAGAAGAUACAGACUGAGUGGGU